rnacentral:lncRNA from 1 species
CUUGUUGUCGUCAUUUUACAGAUACCGCUCCUAAGGCCCAGAGAUGUCGAGCAGUUUGCCCAAGGUCAGUGAGCAUUCUGGGCCUCUGGGGUCCUUGGCCAGGGCUGCUGCGGCUGGACAGGAUUAUGUGUCUGAGCUCUGGCUAUGCGCCACCCAGAGGAGUUGAGCUAUCCUUUAAUAACCUGGACCUGCUGGUUGGAGUUGCUGUGUUCACUGCAGUCUUGCUCAUGUUGGCUAUUGGCCCACGUGGCUCUUGACAAGAACCUACAUUAAGAAGGAAAAUUCUGAGUCAGAAUGUGGCACCACAGAAACACCUGCCUAUAGCACCUGCUUUUGAUCCGAUGGACUUCUGCAGACACCUUCCCUUCAACCCCUCCCAGCUUUAGUCCCAUGCCAAGGUUCCAGAUGGUGCUCAAGGCAAGAAUAUACCUAGAAACAGGGAAAUGCAGAUGUGGGAGGAGCAAUCAGAGAGGCUCUGGGGAUAGCUGCUGCCUCUAGAAAGGAGGGUGGGAGGAGAAUUGUCCUUUGGAGGUAAAAACCUCACCGUGCCAUCAAAUCACACACUCUUAAUCUAGGAAGAACUGCCUUGAAUCUGAUCUUGCCUGUCACUUCUGUUCUCUCUGAGUCCACUGUGUUGUAGUUCCUGACUCUCCCUGGGGAGAAGGCCCUGUGUGUGUGUGUGUGUGUGUGUGUGUGUGUGUGUGUACGUGGUGGUGGUGAUGGGGACCUUGCCUCAGGACUCAGCCUAUAAUCCUGGCAAAGGGCUGAGGUAGACUUCUGGUGACCCAGACACUCCAGGUGAGGAGUGUGGUCCACAGAAGGUGUCUAGCAGAGGAAGAAGCAUAUGGUACCAACUUAUAAAUUGCACAAGUUUUCCAGUAGAGUUUAACAUGGUCUAGAAAACGAAACCUCAGCACUUCUCUGUCUUUUUAGGGAAAAAGAAACUCCCCUAAAAGUAGAGAGUGAGAACUCUGGAUUCUUUUCCCUUGAUAGUUGGUUAUAUUUUAUUGGAUUAUGAAUUUGUUGUUAUGGAGACAUUCUGCCUUCUGUUCUAUUUCCACCACCACAUGUUGGUUGAUACCAGAGCCCUAUAGCUUUCUCUAAGUAAAAAAGAAACACUUUUGUGUAUUAAAAUAAAUACAACUCUGUGGCUCA